rnacentral:rRNA from 1 species
UACAGAGGUCUCAAGCGUUGUUCGGAUUUAUUGGGCGUAAAGAGCGUGUAGGCGGCUUGACAGGUCUGCUGUGAAAACUCGAGGCUCAACCUCGAGAUGUCGGCGGAAACCGUCUGGCUAGAGUCCGGAAGAGGAGAGUGGAAUUCCUGGUGUAGCGGUGAAAUGCGCAGAUAUCAGGAAGAACACCUAUGGCGAAGGCAGCUCUCUGGGACGGUACUGACGCUGAGACGCGAAAGCGUGGGGAGCGAACAGG